UACGCCAGCUUACUGCUGGUUUUACGUCAGUUCCCACAAUAGCUCUCCCUCUUCCACCACUUCUUCUACUUCGAAACGUGUCACCAACACCAUGAUACCAUAUAGAUAAAUUUUAGAGAUCUUACACCUGUUCUACGGUUUACGUCGACCAGCCUCAAGCCGGUACGAUCGGAGUAGAUAGCCGACGAGCAGUUUACCGAUUGGGAUACGUCAUGCGAUAGGUAUCGACCUAGACAGUAAAAUCAAAUAGUUCAACACCUAGCUCCGCUUGCGAUGUGGGUGGAAACCAUAUGCUAGCAACCGGGUCAACUUUUUUUUUUAUUUCCAUCGGAUAGGAGAGCAACGAAAGCGAGCGGAAAGAGAGCUCGCGAGAGAGAGAGAGAGAGAGAGAGCUAGGAGAGAGGUGGAGAGCCGGCGGCCGGAAGGCCGGUAACAGCCGCCAGAGGCCGAGGCGGGUUGUGAGGGAGCACAAUAGGAAGUAGGCUGGAUAGACGAGGCGGUUGAGCUAAGCUGCGAGCGGAGGAAGAGAACGCGAGCACCGAUUGGGAUCGGCGGUGAUAGCGGCCGCGUGCCACGGCAGAACCUGCGGCCGCGCUGAGGCUGCGGAGGAACGUGAGGAGGAGCUACGGAGGACGGGCGAGAGGGCACAGUGGCUCCGGCAGUUCGCGCUCCCGUACGUGAGGGCCACCGUCGCUACUAAAGGCUAGACGCGGUAGAAGUUCCCGCGCCUCGUUGCCUCCAGCCGAGGAAGAAGAGGGGCCAGUGCGCAGCCCUCUCCUCAGUCGGGGGAACACAAAGACGCGGUUCCGGCCGUUCCUCCAGAGGUCGUACGAGCUCCGGCGGCGGGGGCUCGAGUUUCCAGGCCGGGACUAGCGGAAGUGGGUUGAAAAGAUAGAGGAUCUUGAGCAACUUCUAUUAGGUACGGUGGCGCACCGAAGCUAGAGGUAGUAGACGCAGCAAGAGCAGGAUAACCUCGCUCGACCCUGGUUCGAGCUUGUCAAACAGCACCUUUCUCUUCUCUUCAGUGAGUUAGACCUACACGCUCGGUAAUAUUCACAUCGACAAAAGUAACCGGCUUCAUGGUAGUACGGACUAUACGUACCGAGAACCGGUGACGUCCUAUGCUUACAACUGACCCUCAAGCCCCAAGAGAGAGGUUUCCUCUAGUGUCGAGGAAGCGUACUACAUCUCAAACCUUCGUUUAGUUUUGGUAGGUAUCAUUUUUAGCAUCUCUAGUUCAGUUUUGAUCUAAGACUACUUUACAGACCGCGACGAUAUUUAGAACUCCUUGUGAUACUGUUCCUUUCGUAAUUGUAACUACGAAGGUCACUAAGUAGGGACCUCGCCAUACUAGACAGUCUACUACUAUGACUAAACGUCUUCUUAAAGUGUGUAGAUUCACUAGAACGUCGACGUGACGCUUUUGGACUGCUAGAUCUACCACGGUAUCUAUUUUAAGCUGUUCUCUUCUUUACACACGUCGUCUCCUUGGUUCUACGGUUUCCAAGUUUCGCCACAACACGACUUUUUUGGUCCUGUUAGAAUAUACACUAGGUCCCUGGAGGACCAGAUUUACCUAAGGAUUACGUAGUCUAUUAGGUUCGCCACAAGUAUUCCUUCUCCGAGACAGCUCAACGCCGUCAGAAGAGCAAUCGUGCUCUUGCUGGUGUUUAUUGCAAACUCCGUUUAAGGAAGUGGACGGGACGACUACCCUUUAAGACGUUACUACGGGUCGCCGUGCGGUGAGAGUUCGAUCUCCAGUUCGAAUCCUUGACAUCCAGGACGAAGAAGUAGGACUGCCUGUGGUAAGCAAUGAGGGCCCCCUAGAGGAGCUAGCGCGAGCUGUCCCGGCCGCGAGACGGGGACCGCCACUAUUGCUCACUAGGGGUCUUUCACCUUUAGGCGGGCGAAGGUUGACUACUAUUUUAAGAACGUUAACUCAUAGUUUAACUACCAUCAUUCGAGGUUCUUCUUCUCCACGUAACACGAGUAGUCGGACUCUUUUCACAUUGUAGGUUGGUGUUAGAUCUUUUAUCCGUAUGUUUAAGCUUCUCCUUUGGCUUUCUACUUCUACGUUGUUAUGAACUCUCGAGUUCAUGGGUUAGGUUGGGUUCUUCUUCUGAGUUCCCUCCUGACUAGAUAUACAUC
rnacentral:rRNA from 1 species